rnacentral:rRNA from 1 species
UGCCAAGUCGAGCAGAACAGAAGGGAGCUUGCUCCCGGAUGUUAGCGGCGGACGGGUGAGUAACACGUGGGUAACCUGCCUGUAAGACUGGGAUAACUCCGGGAAACCGGAGCUAAUACCGGAUAGUUCCUUGAACCGCAUGGUUCAAGGAUGAAAGACGGUUUCGGCUGUCACUUACAGAUGGACCCGCGGCGCAUUAGCUAGUUGGUGGGGUAAUGGCUCACCAAGGCGACGAUGCGUAGCCGACCUGAGAGGGUGAUCGGCCACACUGGGACUGAGACACGGCCCAGACUCCUACGGGAGGCAGCAGUAGGGAAUCUUCCGCAAUGGACGAAAGUCUGACGGAGCAACGCCGCGUGAGUGAUGAAGGUUUUCGGAUCGUAAAGCUCUGUUGUUAGGGAAGAACAAGUGCGAGAGUAACUGCUCGCACCUUGACGGUACCUAACCAGAAAGCCACGGCUAACUACGUGCCAGCAGCCGCGGUAAUACGUAGGUGGCAAGCGUUGUCCGGAAUUAUUGGGCGUAAAGGGCUCGCAGGCGGUUUCUUAAGUCUGAUGUGAAAGCCCCCGGCUCAACCGGGGAGGGUCAUUGGAAACUGGGAAACUUGAGUGCAGAAGAGGAGAGUGGAAUUCCACGUGUAGCGGUGAAAUGCGUAGAGAUGUGGAGGAACACCAGUGGCGAAGGCGACUCUCUGGUCUGUAACUGACGCUGAGGAGCGAAAGCGUGGGGAGCGAACAGGAUUAGAUACCCUGGUAGUCCACGCCGUAAACGAUGAGUGCUAGUGGUUAGGGGGUUUCCGCCCCUUAGUGCUGCAGCUAACGCAUUAAGCACUCCGCCUGGGGGAGUACGGUCGCAAGACUGAAACUCAAAGGAAUUGACGGGGGCCGCACAAGCGGUGGAGCA